rnacentral:rRNA from 1 species
UGAAAGGACGCACUAAAGUAAGUAAAAGCAGAGACUAUACCUUGUACCUUUUGCAUCAUGAUCUAGCCAGUAACCUCAAGCAAAGAGACCUCUAGUUUGAGCCCCCGAAACCAGACGAGCUACCCCGGGACAGCCUAACGUAGGGCCAACCCGUCUCUGUGGCAAUAGAGUGGGAAGAUCUCCGGGUAGAGGUGAAAGACCUACCGAGUUUGGUUAUAGCUGGUUGCCCAAGAAAUGAAUAGAAGUUCAGCCCCGUUGGGCCCCUAGCCACCGCAGUUUUACUCAAUAAAGGCAUAAGGGUCACCCCCGGGAGUUAGUCAAGGGAGGUACAGCUCCCUUAACGAAGGACACAACCUUAAGCAGGAGGCUAAGGAGUAUAUUAAGUCAAGGCCACAGGUUUUAGUGGGCCUAAAAGCAGCCACCUUAACUGAGAGCGUUAAAGCUCAGACCAAUUCAAGCCUAUUAUAAGAUUAGAAUUUCCAAAGCCCCUAAUAUUACUGGGCCACCCUAUGCCCCCAUAGGAGAGACCAUGCUAGAACGAGUAAUAAGAAGGAAAGACCUUCUCCCAGCACAUGUGUAAGUCGAAUCGGACACACCAUCGACAAUUAACGAACCCAAUUAAAGAGGGCACUGCAGCAUCGCCACCCCCGGCCAAGAAGAUCCUGCAGCAAGACAUCGUUACCCCAACACAGGAGUGCUUUAGUUAAGGGAAAGACUAAUAGGAAAAAAAGGAACUCGGCAAGCCUAAACCCCGCCUGUUUACCAAAAACAUCGCCUCCUGCCCCUACUGUUUAUAGGAGGUCCCGCCUGCCCUGUGACCAAAAGUUUAACGGCCGCGGUAUUUUAACCGUGCGAAGGUAGCGCAAUCAAUUGUCUUUUAAAUGGAGACCUGUAUGAAUGGCAUAACGAGGGUUUGACUGUCUCUUUUUUCCUGGUCAGUGAAACUGAUCUGCCCGUGCAGAAGCGGGCAUACCGCCACAAGACGAGAAGACCCUAUGGAGCUUUAGACGCUAACCAACCCCGAAAAGCACCCUACACCAGGGCCCAAACAACGUGGUUUUGGCACAACCGUCUUCGGUUGGGGCGACCGCGGGAGAUAGCACAGCUCCCGAGUGGAUGGGGGAAACCCUAAAACCAAGAGCUACAGCUCGAAGUCACAGAACAUUUGACCAACAAUGAUCCGGCUUCAUGCCGACCAACGGACCAAGUUACCCUAGGGAUAACAGCGCAAUCCCCUCCCAGAGUUCAUAUCGACGAGGGGGUUUACGACCUCGAUGUUGGAUCAGGACAUCCUAAUGGUGCAGCCGCUAUUAA